UAGUCUCAGUUCGGAUUGGAGUCUGCAACCCGACUCCAUGAAGCUGGAUUCGCUAGUAAUCGCGCAUCAGCCACGGCGCGGUGAAUACGUUCCCGGGCCUUGUACACACCGCCCGUCAAGCCAUGGAAGCCGGGAGUGCCUGAAGUGCGUGACCGCAAGGAACGCCCUAGGGUAAAACCGGUGACUGGGGCUAAGUCGUAACAAGGUAGC
rnacentral:rRNA from 1 species